GGUUCUGGGAUCAAUAUUCUGCUCAACUUCUCUUGUAAGGUAAAAUAAGUAAUCAACAGCAAAAUCCAACGAGUCUGCUACGUAUUGCAAUGUUUGCUGCAAAUGGGAAAUCAGAAAAAGAAGAAGAAGAAGAAGAAGAAGAAGCUGACGGGCAUUGACAAGGAAAAAGGAAGAAAAUCUACCUCAGUUUGCGAUGAUCAUUGAUUGGCACCAACAGACAUCGCAUAAAACUUCCACUAUCCAGUAGACAAAUCAGCAAAAUGAUCAUUGCUACAGCUUCACGAGAACCACCAUUCUCCCAUGUUUCUGUUCCCCGUUUCAGCAGUACGAAUUCCAUGCCUCAGCACAGCAUUGUUUGCCAUUAGCUAAGAUUAUAUCAACACAUUUUCUUUAGUUCAA